rnacentral:rRNA from 1 species
UAGGGAAUCUUCGGCAAUGGACGAAAGUCUGACCGAGCAACGCCGCGUGAGUGAAGAAGGUUUUCGGAUCGUAAAACUCUGUUGUUAGAGAAGAACAAGGACGUUAGUAACUGAACGUCCCCUGACGGUAUCUAACCAGAAAGCCACGGCUAACUACGUGCCAGCAGCCGCGGUAAUACGUAGGUGGCAAGCGUUGUCCGGAUUUAUUGAGCGUAAAGCGAGCGCAGGCGGUUUCUUAAGUCUGAUGUGAAAGCCCCCGGCUCAACCGGGGAGGGUCAUUGGAAACUGGGAGACUUGAGUGCAGAAGAGGAGAGUGGAAUUCCAUGUGUAGCGGUGAAAUGCGUAGAUAUAUGGAGGAACACCAGUGGCGAAGGCGGCUCUCUGGUCUGUAACUGACGCUGAGGCUAGAAAGCGUGGGGAGCAAACAGG